rnacentral:rRNA from 1 species
GCGUGCUUAACACAUGCAAGUCGCACGAGAAAGUCCCGCAAGGGAUGAGUAAAGUGGCGCACGGGUGCGUAAUACAUAGGUCAUCUACCUUCCUGAUCAGCACAACCUCGGGAAACCGGGGCUAAUUCUGGAUACGUCCUUAGAAACGUGAAGUUUUUUUGGAGAAAGCAGGCCUCUACUUGUAAGCUUGUACGGGAAGAUGAGUCUAUGGCCCAUCAGUUAGUUGGUAGGGUAACGGCCUACCAAGACGAUGACGGGUAGCUGGUCUGAGAGGACGACCAGCCACACUGGAACUGGAACACGGUCCAGACUCCUACGGGAGGCAGCAGUGGGGAAUAUUGGACAAUGGGGGAAACCCUGAUCCAGCAACGCCGCGUGAGGGAAGAAGGCCUUCGGGUUGUAAACCUCUGUCGAAGGGGGCGAAACAGUCUUGGCUAAUAUCCAAGGCUCUGACAGUACCCUUAGAGGAAGCACCGGCUAACUCCGUGCCAGCAGCCGCGGUAAUACGGAGGGUGCAAGCGUUGUUCGGAAUUACUGGGCGUAAAGCGUGUCUAGGUGGGUUUGUAAGUCAGAUGUGAAAUCCCCCGGCUUAACCGGGGAGGGUCGUUUGAAACUGCAAAUCUUGAGUUUCGGAAAGGUGGGCGGAAUUCCCAGUGUAGCAGUGAAAUGCGUAGAUAUUGGGAGGAACAUCGGAGGCGAAAGCGGCUCACCAGCCGAAUACUGACACUCAAGCACGAAAGCGUGGGGAGCAAACAGGAUUAGAUACCCUGGUAGUCCACGCUGUAAACUAUGGAUACUAGGCGUUGGAGGAAUUGAUCCCUUCAGUGCCGACGCUAACGCAUUAAGUAUCCCGCCUGGGGAGUACGGCCGCAAGGUUAAAACUCAAAGGAAUAGACGGGGGCCCGCACAAGCGGUGGAGCAUGUGGUUUAAUUCGACGCAACGCGAGAAACCUUACCUGGGUUUGACAUCCGGAGAACCCGCCAGAGAUGGUGGGGUGCCGUAAGGAACUCCGAGACAGGUGCUGCAUGGCUGUCGU